rnacentral:rRNA from 1 species
GACGAACGCUGGCGGCGUGCUUAACACAUGCAAGUCGAACGGAAAGGCCCUGCUUUUGUGGGGUGCUCGAGUGGCGAACGGGUGAGUAACACGUGAGUAACCUGCCCUUGACUUUGGGAUAACUUCAGGAAACUGGGGCUAAUACCGGAUAGGAGCUCCUGCUGCAUGGUGGGGGUUGGAAAGUUUCGGCGGUUGGGGAUGGACUCGCGGCUUAUCAGCUUGUUGGUGGGGUAGUGGCUUACCAAGGCUUUGACGGGUAGCCGGCCUGAGAGGGUGACCGGCCACAUUGGGACUGGGGUACGGCCCAGACUCCUACGGGAGGCAGCAGUGGGAAAUAUUGCAAGAUGGGCGGAGGCCUGAUGGAGCAACGCCGCGUGGGGGAGGACGGCCUUCGGGUUGUAAACCGCUUUCGCCUGUGACGAAGCGUGAGUGACGGUAAUGGGUAAAGAAGCACCGGCUAACUACGU